rnacentral:rRNA from 1 species
CUCAGAUUGAACGCUGGCGGCAGGCCUAACACAUGCAAGUCGAACGGUAACAGGAAGCAGCUUGCUGCUUUGCUGACGAGUGGCGGACGGGUGAGUAAUGUCUGGGAAACUGCCCGAUGGAGGGGGAUAACUACUGGAAACGGUAGCUAAUACCGCAUAACGUCGCAAGACCAAAGAGGGGGACCUUAGGGCCUCUUGCCAUCGGAUGUGCCCAGAUGGGAUUAGCUAGUAGGUGGGGUAAUGGCUCACCUAGGCGACGAUCCCUAGCUGGUCUGAGAGGAUGACCAGCCACACUGGAACUGAGACACGGUCCAGACUCCUACGGGAGGCAGCAGUGGGGAAUAUCGCACAAUGGGCGCAAGCCUGAUGCAGCCAUGCCGCGUGUAUGAAGAAGGCCUUCGGGUUGUAAAGUACUUUCAGCGGGGAGGAAGGGAGUAAAGUUAAUACCUUUGCUCAUUGACGUUACCCGCAGAAGAAGCACCGGCUAACUCCGUGCCAGCAGCCGCGGUAAUACGGAGGGUGCAAGCGUUAAUCGGAAUUACUGGGCGUAAAGCGCACGCAGGCGGUUUGUUAAGUCAGAUGUGAAAUCCCCGGGCUCAACCUGGGAACUGCAUCUGAUACUGGCAAGCUUGAGUCUCGUAGAGGGGGGUAGAAUUCCAGGUGUAGCGGUGAAAUGCGUAGAGAUCUGGAGGAAUACCGGUGGCGAAGGCGGCCCCCUGGACGAAGACUGACGCUCAGGUGCGAAAGCGUGGGGAGCAAACAGGAUUAGAUACCCUGGUAGUCCACGCCGUAAACGAUGUCGACUUGGAGGUUGUGCCCUUGAGGCGUGGCUUCCGGAGCUAACGCGUUAAGUCGACCGCCUGGGGGGGUUACGGCCGCAAGGUUAAAACUCAAAUGAAUUGACGGGGGCCCGCACAAGCGGUGGAGCAUGUGGUUUAUUUCGAUGCAACGCGAAGAACCUUACCUGGUCUUGACAUCCACGGAAGUUUUCAGAGAUGAGAAUGUGCCUUCGGGAACCGUGAGACAGGUGCUGCAUGGCUGUCGUCAGCUCGUGUUGUGAAAUGUUGGGUUAAGUCCCGCAACGAGCGCAACCCUUAUCCUUUGUUGCCAGCGGUCCGGCCGGGAACUCAAAGGAGACUGCCAGUGAUAAACUGGAGGAAGGUGGGGAUGACGUCAAGUCAUCAUGGCCCUUACGACCAGGGCUACACACGUGCUACAAUGGCGCAUACAAAGAGAAGCGACCUCGCGAGAGCAAGCGGACCUCAUAAAGUGCGUCGUAGUCCGGAUUGGAGUCUGCAACUCGACUCCAUGAAGUCGGAAUCGCUAGUAAUCGUGGAUCAGAAUGCCACGGUGAAUACGUUCCCGGGCCUUGUACACACCGCCCGUCACACCAUGGGAGUGGGUUGCAAAAGAAGUAAAUAGCUUAACCUUCGGGAGGGCGCUUACC